rnacentral:tRNA from 1 species
UCCCUGGUAGUCGAGUGGUUAGGACUCAGUGCUUUCACUGCCAAGGGCCCAGGUUCAGUUCCUGGCGAGGGAA